CCUACGGGUGACUGCAGUGAGGAAUAUUGGUCAAUGGGCGCGAGCCUGAACCAGCCAAGUAGCGUGAAGGAUGACUGCCCUACGGGUUGUAAACUUCUUUUAUAAAGGAAUAAAGUGAGGCACGUGUGCCUUUUUGUAUGUACCAUAUGAAUAAGCAUCGGCUAACUCCGUGCCAGCAGCCGCGGUAAUACGGGGGAUGCGAGCGUUAUCCGGAUUUAUUGGGUUUAAAGGGUGCGUAGGUGGUUAAUUAAGUCAGCGGUGAAAGUUUGUGGCUCAACCAUAAAAUUGCCGUUGAAACUGGUUGACUUGAGUAUAUUUGAGGUAGGCGGGAUGCGUGGUGUAGCGGUGGAAAGCAUAGAUAUCACGCAGAACUCCGAAUGCGAAGGCAGCUUAAUAAACUAUAACUGACACUGGAGCACGAAAGCGUGGGGAUCAAACAGGAUUAGAUACCCCUGUAGUC
rnacentral:rRNA from 1 species